UAAUACGAAGGGCCCGAGCGUUAAUCAGAAUCACUGGGCUUAAAGCGUGCGUAGGCGGACAUGAAGGCGCCUUGUGAAAUCCCUCGGCUCAACCGAGGAACUGCAGGGCGAACCAUGUGUCUUGAGACAGGUAGGGGUCGUCGGAACGGUAGGUGGAGUGGUGAAAUGCGUUGAUAUCUACCGGAACGCCGAAGGAGAAGUCAGGCGACUGGGCCUGUUCUGACGCUGAGGCACGAAAGCGUGGGGAGCGAACGGGAUUAGAUACCCCGGUAGUCCACGCCGUAAACGAUGUGCACUAGGUUGGGGGGGUUUUGACGCCAUUCCCGGCCGAAGCAAAAGUGUUAAGUGCACCGCCUGGGGAGUACGGUCGCAAGGCUA
rnacentral:rRNA from 1 species